GGGUUGUGAGGUUAAGCGACUAAGCGUACACGGUGGAUGCCCUGGCAGUCAGAGGCGAUGAAGGACGUGCUAAUCUGCGAUAAGCGUCGGUAAGGUGAUAUGAACCGUUAUAACCGGCGAUUUCCGAAUGGGGAAACCCAGUGUGAUUCGUCACACUAUCAUUAACUGAAUCCAUAGGUUAAUGAGGCGAACCGGGGGAACUGAAACAUCUAAGUACCCCGAGGAAAAGAAAUCAACCGAGAUUCCCCCAGUAGCGGCGAGCGAACGGGGAGCAGCCCAGAGCCUGAAUCAGUGUGUGUGUUAGUGGAAGCGUCUGGAAAGGCGCGCGAUACAGGGUGACAGCCCCGUACACAAAAAUGCACAUGCUGUGAGCUCGAUGAGUAGGGCGGGACACGUGGUAUCCUGUCUGAAUAUGGGGGGACCAUCCUCCAAGGCUAAAUACUCCUGACUGACCGAUAGUGAACCAGUACCGUGAGGGAAAGGCGAAAAGAACCCCGGCGAGGGGAGUGAAAAAGAACCUGAAACCGUGUACGUACAAGCAGUGGGAGCACGCUUAGGCGUGUGACUGCGUACCUUUUGUAUAAUGGGUCAGCGACUUAUAUUCUGUAGCAAGGUUAACCGAAUAGGGGAGCCGAAGGGAAACCGAGUCUUAACUGGGCGUUAAGUUGCAGGGUAUAGACCCGAAACCCGGUGAUCUAGCCAUGGGCAGGUUGAAGGUUGGGUAACACUAACUGGAGGACCGAACCGACUAAUGUUGAAAAAUUAGCGGAUGACUUGUGGCUGGGGGUGAAAGGCCAAUCAAACCGGGAGAUAGCUGGUUCUCCCCGAAAGCUAUUUAGGUAGCGCCUCGUGAAUUCAUCUCCGGGGGUAGAGCACUGUUUCGGCAAGGGGGUCAUCCCGACUUACCAACCCGAUGCAAACUGCGAAUACCGGAGAAUGUUAUCACGGGAGACACACGGCGGGUGCUAACGUCCGUCGUGAAGAGGGAAACAACCCAGACCGCCAGCUAAGGUCCCAAAGUCAUGGUUAAGUGGGAAACGAUGUGGGAAGGCCCAGACAGCCAGGAUGUUGGCUUAGAAGCAGCCAUCAUUUAAAGAAAGCGUAAUAGCUCACUGGUCGAGUCGGCCUGCGCGGAAGAUGUAACGGGGCUAAACCAUGCACCGAAGCUGCGGCAGCGACGCUUAUGCGUUGUUGGGUAGGGGAGCGUUCUGUAAGCCUGUGAAGGUGUACUGUGAGGUAUGCUGGAGGUAUCAGAAGUGCGAAUGCUGACAUAAGUAACGAUAAAGCGGGUGAAAAGCCCGCUCGCCGGAAGACCAAGGGUUCCUGUCCAACGUUAAUCGGGGCAGGGUGAGUCGACCCCUAAGGCGAGGCCGAAAGGCGUAGUCGAUGGGAAACAGGUUAAUAUUCCUGUACUUGGUGUUACUGCGAAGGGGGGACGGAGAAGGCUAUGUUGGCCGGGCGACGGUUGUCCCGGUUUAAGCGUGUAGGCUGGUUUUCCAGGCAAAUCCGGAAAAUCAAGGCUGAGGCGUGAUGACGAGGCACUACGGUGCUGAAGCAACAAAUGCCCUGCUUCCAGGAAAAGCCUCUAAGCAUCAGGUAACAUCAAAUCGUACCCCAAACCGACACAGGUGGUCAGGUAGAGAAUACCAAGGCGCUUGAGAGAACUCGGGUGAAGGAACUAGGCAAAAUGGUGCCGUAACUUCGGGAGAAGGCACGCUGAUAUGUAGGUGAAGUCCCUCGCGGAUGGAGCUGAAAUCAGUCGAAGAUACCAGCUGGCUGCAACUGUUUAUUAAAAACACAGCACUGUGCAAACACGAAAGUGGACGUAUACGGUGUGACGCCUGCCCGGUGCCGGAAGGUUAAUUGAUGGGGUCAGCGCAAGCGAAGCUCUUGAUCGAAGCCCCGGUAAACGGCGGCCGUAACUAUAACGGUCCUAAGGUAGCGAAAUUCCUUGUCGGGUAAGUUCCGACCUGCACGAAUGGCGUAAUGAUGGCCAGGCUGUCUCCACCCGAGACUCAGUGAAAUUGAACUCGCUGUGAAGAUGCAGUGUACCCGCGGCAAGACGGAAAGACCCCGUGAACCUUUACUAUAGCUUGACACUGAACAUUGAGCCUUGAUGUGUAGGAUAGGUGGGAGGCUU
rnacentral:rRNA from 1 species